GCCCAGCCGAGGCCUGCAGACUCCUCUCCUGGGUCCAGAGGGCCUGCAAGUAAGAAUUUGGUCCAAGGCUUCACCCCAGGCCAGUGCCUCUGCAUGUCCACUCCCACGGGCCGCCCAUUCCAAUCCCUUUGGGCUGCUAGAAGUUCUUCCUUCUGUUGACCUUCAUCAGUUUCCCUGGAGCUUCUGCUACUGGUUCCUUCCCUGGGGUAUGGCAGAGGGAGUCGGCAUCUCAGGAGUCAGAAGACAGUGAGCACCUCCCCGGACUCUGAAACUAAAUGCAGCUUGAGGUUUCAGGAUCCCACAUGGGGAGACAGGUAGAGGCGGUGGCUGCAGAACAUGGCCGAUCCUGGAGUCCCGGCGAGACUGAAGAAACAACUGCUGCUCUGCUGUCCUCCCCUCUCAUCAUCUGACUCACUCCUUUGACUGACAACCAUCCACAGGGACGCCUACACAAAGUGGUCACUCUGCAGUCGACGUAUCAUCCCAGCUACUGGUGGUCAUCGGGGACGCAGAUAUGUGUGUCUCCAUUUUGCAGAUGAGGACAUGGAGGCCUCAAGAGGUUAAGUGACUUGCUCAGCCACACACAGCUGAUGGGAAUGAAACAGACGGAAACGGAGACUCCCCAAGCUGACAGGCGGACUACAGAUCUGGGGGUUCUGCUCCAGGCUCAACACAAGUGGCCUGGGCGAGGGAGGGCCUGGUAGACCAUGACACCCAGCAUCGAGGAAUUCUGCUUCCCCAGCAGGCUCAGAAGGAAGAAGUCUGCUUCAGGGGCCAGGCCUGGUCAAAGACUCCAUCUUCCCUGGAUGGCCAGAGUCAAAUCCUUGCAAAUCCCGUUCACCAUGGAGCAGAGACGAGACCUAUGUUACCCAGGCUGUAUGUGAAUUCCUGGACUCAAGCAAUCCUCCCAUCUCAGCCUCGUGAGUAGUUG
rnacentral:lncRNA from 10 species